rnacentral:rRNA from 1 species
CUACGGGGGGCUGCAGUAAGGAAUAUUGCACAAUGGGCGCAAGCCUGAUGCAGCCAUGCCGCGUGUAUGAAGAAGGCCUUCGGGUUGUAAAGUACUUUCAGCGGGGAGGAAGGGAGUAAAGUUAAUACCUUUGCUCAUUGACGUUACCCGCAGAAGAAGCACCGGCUAACUCCGUGCCAGCAGCCGCGGUAAUACGGGGGGUGCAAGCGUUAAUCGGAAUUACUGGGCGUAAAGCGCACGCAGGCGGUUUGUUAAGUCAGAUGUGAAAUCCCCGGGCUCAACCUGGGAACUGCAUCUGAUACUGGCAAGCUUGAGUCUCGUAGAGGGGGGUAGAAUUCCAGGUGUAGCGGUGAAAUGCGUAGAGAUCUGGAGGAAUACCGGUGGCGAAGGCAGCCCCCUGGACGAAGACUGACGCUCAGGUGCGAAAGCGUGGGGAGCAAACAGGAUUAGAUACCCCAGUAGUC